GCCGGGAGUGGUGGCGCAUGACUGUAAUCCCAGCAAUCUCGGGAGGCUGAGGCAGGAGCAUCGUGAAUUCAAAGCCAGUGUCAGCAAUGGCAAAGUGCUAAGCAACUCAGUGAGAUCCUGUCUCUA
rnacentral:sRNA from 1 species